rnacentral:rRNA from 1 species
AUGAACGCUGGCGGCGUGCCUAAUACAUGCAAGUCGAGCGAACAGAUGAGGAGCUUGCUCCUCUGACGUUAGCGGCGGACGGGUGAGUAUCACGUGGAUAACCUACCUAUAAGACUGGGAUAACUUCGGGAAACCGGAGCUAAUACCGGAUAAUAUAUUGAACCGCAUGGUUCAAUAGUGAAAGACGGUUUUGCUGUCACUUAUAGAUGGAUCCGCGCCGCAUUAGCUAGUUGGUAAGGUAACGGCUUACCAAGGCAACGAUGCGUAGCCGACCUGAGAGGGUGAUCGGCCACACUGGAACUGAGACACGGUCCAGACUCCUACGGGAGGCAGCAGUAGGGAAUCUUCCGCAAUGGGCGAAAGCCUGACGGAGCAACGCCGCGUGAGUGAUGAAGGUCUUCGGAUCGUAAAACUCUGUUAUUAGGGAAGAACAAAUGUGUAAGUAACUAUGCACGUCUUGACGGUACCUAAUCAGAAAGCCACGGCUAACUACGUG